rnacentral:rRNA from 1 species
UACGAAGGGGGCUAGCGUUGCUCGGAAUCACUGGGCGUAAAGCGCACGUAGGCGGCUUUUUAAGUCAGAGGUGAAAUCCUGGAGCUCAACUCCAGAACUGCCUUUGAUACUGGAGAGCUUGAGUCCGGGAGAGGUGAGUGGAACUGCGAGUGUAGAGGUGGAAUUCGUAGAUAUUCGCAAGAACACCAGUGGCGAAGGCGGCUCACUGGCCCGAUACUGACGCUGAGGCACGAAAGCGUGGGGAGCAAACAGG